ACUGCACAGUUGUAGGGGAAGGGAGAUUCCCCAUGCCCAGGGCAAUCUCCAGCAGCUAGAAGAGAUCCCAGCAGCAGGAAAGGCAGAGAGGCACGGAGAGAGAGCUGACUCCAGCAGCUCCCCCGCCUGUGCUCUCCUGGACACUUCCCAUGGACAACUUCUACCCCUGUAUCCUGGAAAUGUAUCCCCUACAGCCUCUUCAGCAACCCUGUGGAUUGAAAGCCAAAGGGAUAUACAGGCAGCAUCAGCCCAGGGCUCUCCCUGUGUCCUGGGCUUGGUAAAGGAGCUGAAGUUCCCAUGCAGGACCCCAUAGAGAUCCAUCCUGGGCUGUCCCCGACUGCAGCUCCUCGGGGAAGCAGGAGAGAGCUGACACCGUCUCCAACAGCUGCUGUGCUCCCUGGGAUCAUCGCUUCCCUGGAUGUUCAGACCUUAUGGCGAGCUGGGGACUUGGGCUUGUGCUGAGCUCUGGUGCGUGGGUGUCUCCUCUCCUCACUGUCCAAACACGCUGCUGUUUUUCCCAGAUCCUGGCGAUGGCAUCACCUCCUCACUGUUGGGAAUGUGCGGUGAGGGGCUGGAGGCGCACGGCUUUCCCCAUCCUCCGCACCCUGGAUGAGGCGUGUUCUGGUGGAAAACAAAGAGA